rnacentral:rRNA from 1 species
UACGAAGGGGGCUAGCGUUGCUCGGAAUCACUGGGCGUAAAGCGCACGUAGGCGGAUCGCUAAGUCAGGGGUGAAAUCCUGGAGCUCAACUCCAGAACUGCCUUUGAUACUGAUAGUCUUGAGUAUGGGAGAGGUGAGUGGAACUGCGAGUGUAGAGGUGAAAUUCGUAGAUAUUCGCAAGAACACCAGUGGCGAAGGGCGGCUCACUGGCCCAUUACUGACGCUG